ensembl:lncRNA
CACAUUACAGCCGUCACAUUACAGCAGUCACUUUACAGCCGUCGCGUUACAGCCGUCGCGUUACAGCAGUCGCGUUACAGCAGUCGCGGUUACAGCGGUCACAUUACAGCGGUCACUUUACAGCCGUCACAUUACAGCGGUCACUUUACAGCAGUCGCGUACAGCAGUCACUUUACAGCCGUCGUGUUACAGCCGUCACUUUACAGCAGUCACUUUACAGCCGUCGUGUUACAGCCGUCACUUUACAGCAGUCGCUUUUACAGCAUCACUUUACAGCCGUCGCGUUACAGCCGUCACUUUACAGCCGUCGCUUUACAGCCGUCGCGUUACAGCCGUCAUAUGAAGUGCUUUAACGAAUGAAAUAUCAUUUUAUACUUACGAUAAUACAUUUGUAUAAAUUAUUAUUAGAUUAAACUAUUUAUCUAUUAAAGCACAACCUCAUGAAGCCACAAGACUCUGAAUGGAAGUGAUGAAACACACACAUUCACAGUGAUGUUCAUUAUUACAGUAAUGUGUGUGUGUGUGUGUGUGUGUGUGUGUGUGUGUGUGUGAUAUCGCUGAUGUAUCGUAUGACUGAUCAUCAGUAUGUCCUCACUUUCACUUCCUCGUUUAUCUGUUUAUCUGCUGAUGAAUAAUAAAUGAGCUUUACUGCUCUCUCACUCUGUCUGACCGCACACACACACAGACACACACACACACACACACACACACACACUCUUAAAUAACUCCAUCCUCACCCUUCCUGCAGACCUGCGUGUCCUGAGAGCUGAAGGAGGUAACGUGGACGUGCCUGUGAGUCCAUCUACACUGCCGCUUUAACGUUUGUGAAUUUAUAAUGUUCUAUAUUUCUGCUUAAAUGAACAAAAACAUCAUCAGACUUUCACAUGAGUCCUAAAUGUAAAUAAAUAGAACCCAAUUAAACAAAUGAGACAAAAAUAUUAUACUCUGCUGUUUAUUUAUUGAGGAAAAUGAUCCAAUAUUACAUAUCUGUGAGAGGUAAAAGUAUGUGCACCUCUAGGAUUAUCAGUUGUGGAGGUGAAAUUAGAGUCAGUGGGAUGACGAUCAGGUGUGAGUGAGUGAGCGUCCUGUUUUAUUUAAAGAACAGGAAUCUAUCAGAGUCUGAUCUUCACAACACGUGUCUGUGGAAGUGUAUCAAGCCACGAACAAAAGAUAUGCUGAGGAUGUCAGAAAAAGAGUUGUUGAAGCUCAUCAGGCUGGAAAAGGUCACAAAACCAUCUCUAAAGAGUCUGGACUCCACCAAUCCACCGUCAGACAGAUUGUGUAGAAAUGGAGGAAAUUCAACACCAUUGUUACCCUCCCAGGAGACCAACAAAGAUCUCUCAAAGAGCAAGACGUGUAAUAGUCCACGAGGUCACAGAGAGGAACCCAGGGGAACUUCUAACCGACUAAAUUGUCAUCUCUCACAUUGUCUAAUGAUAAUGUUCAUGAGUGCACCAUCAGGAGAACACUGAACAACGAUGGUGUGCGUGGCAGGGCUGCAAGGAGAAAGCCUCCGCUCUCCAAAAAGAACACUGCUGCACAUCUGCAGUUCGUUAAAGAUCACGUGGACGAGCCAGAAGACUACUGGAAAAAUGUUCUGCGGACGGAGGAGACCAAAAUAAGAAUAUUUUGGUUUAAAUGAGAAGCGUUAUGUUUGGAAAAGGAAAACACUGCAUUCUGGCAUAAGAACCUUCUCCCAUCUGUGAAACAUGGUGGUGUUAGUGUCAGAUAUAAAUUAUAAAUGCGGCAACCACACAGAGCACAUAAAGAUGUGAAUUAAGAAAAUAAUAAAGUUAAAAACACUCACACUGCUUUCUGCAUUCCGUCCCAGUGAACAAAAACUACACGAUUUACAGCACAAAUGAUGAAUCAGCUUCAGCUGCGUGGAAACAAGUGCUUUAUUUGCAUAUCAUAUGCAUACACCAUGCCCCAAUUUACCCUCAUAUGCAUCUAAUUUACAUAGACACACCCACAUUUAUGCAGGUGUCGUGGCAGUGAACCAAUAAAAGCAUUCAGCAGAACCAAGUUUUCCAAGAAAUAAAGUAAACUGAGCAGGAAACGAGUUUCAGUGACUCUGAGGUGACUGCAAAUAAAACAUGAUUUUUCAAAAGCCUCAAAAUCCCUAAACAAACUAAAAUAAAUUCAACUGUUAACAGUUUGACAGAAGAAAACAUGGACCAGUAAGUUGUUCUGUUGUACCUGUUGUUUUUAUUAUGUAGGUGAACACAGACAGUAAUGUUUAUCAUAAAACAUUAAGAGUUUUGGGGUCCCAUGUGUUAACACAUUAGUUUUGCUAAAUUUUCCCAGUACUUCUGUAUAAAACUGAUUCGGGGCGGAGUUACGGUACAUAUGAGACCAGAUUGUCAAGAAUCACUAAGAACUAAG